CCCUUAGAUGUUCUGGGCUGCACGCGCGCGACAAUGACGUUUGCAACGAGAUUGCGAGGCCGUCAGGUCGAGCUGAUCUUGCAAGCUGCGUCGUGAUAGGGACAGUCGAUUGCAAUUAUUCGACUCGAACGAGGAAUUCCUUGUAAUCGCGCAUCAUCAGUGCGCGCUGAAUACGUCCCUGCCCUUUGUACACACCGCCCGUCGCUCCUACCGAUUUUGAGUGGUCCGGUGAACCUUCUGGAUUGUGCGGCUUGCCGCGCGAGAAGUUAUGUAAACCUUAUCACUUAGAGGAAGGAGAAGUCGUAACA
rnacentral:rRNA from 1 species